rnacentral:lncRNA from 1 species
GCGGACUAAGGAAGUGGCGUCGCGAGGUCGUCUCGACGAACGUUAUCUUUCUGGCCAUAACCCUCCAGCUCAGGUGAGUCUUCCUUUCCUUCCUGAUCUCCAUACUGAGAUCGAGAAGGAAUGGAAGAAGCCGUUUUCCUCACGCAUCCAUCGGUUUCAGCAUACCAGUUAUGCGAAUAUCGAGGCGGUGCGCGAAAACGGCUAUGAGAGAAUGCCCCCUGUAGAAGAGACGCUAGCUAGCUAUCUCUCUAUGGGAGAGACAUCAUCUCUCAAAACUCCCUCCUUGCCAUCCAUGCCUCUUCAAGCUACAUCUAAAAUGAAUGGCAAGGCAUACGCAGCAGCAGGUCAGGCUGUUGCUUCACUGCACACGAUGGCGGUGCUUCAAGCAUACCAGGCUGAUCUGCUGAAAGACCUGGAUAAAGGCGAGGGCCUUUCUUCUGAUGAGAUGGCUGAGUUACGCCGCACCACGGAUCUUGCUCUUCGUGCUACUAAGCAGGCUGCCUCUGCCAUGGGCAGAUCUAUGGCAGCGAUGGUAGUAACGGAGAGGCAGCUGUGGGUAAACCUGGCAGACAUCGGGAAGAAAGAAAGGGGUUUUCUUCUCGAUGCCCCGGUUUCGCCCUCUGAACUUUUUGGUACAUCCGUUGAGACGGUCAUCGAAAAGUUCAGGGAGGCGAAGGCACGCUCAGCGGCCUUCAAAACCUUCAUUCCACGAAGGUCCAGGUCUGAGCCCGAACAAACCAGGGGUCCUGGCCCGUCUCGAUUUGAGGAUCAGAGACGAGCACAGAAGGCUAGUGUCGCGACUCGCGCUCCUCCUCCGCCUGCGGGUAGGGGUAGGAAGUAUCGUGGGUCGAAGGGAGGUAGGCAAGACCUGAGGGAUGUGAUCCAGACAAGGCGUCAGAGCUUUCGUCCGGAUCAGAGUAAUACUUAGGUAUCCACUCUUUCCCUCAGGGGGUGUAACAUCUACCCCUUUCUUCCCCUUCCUAAUUCCCCUGUAACCACCAUAUCGCCACCUGACCGAGGUCAGGUGGAAGCUUCCUGCAUAACAGUCUCCU